rnacentral:rRNA from 1 species
CUUAAUUACCAAUAUAAUUUGACGACAUUUAUAACAAAACACGGCCCAACACCAUAAACUAAACCAUUUUUUUACCUGAGUAUGGGAGACAGAAAAGGUUCAACCCAAAGCAAUAGAGAAAGUACCGCAAGGGAACGCUGAAAGAGAAAUGAAAUAACCCAUAUAAGCGCUAAAAACAAGACAAAACCUU